rnacentral:rRNA from 1 species
UACGAAGGGGGCUAGCGUUGUUCGGAAUUACUGGGCGUAAAGCGCACGUAGGCGGAUUGUUAAGUUAGGUGUGAAAGUCCUGGGCUCAACCUGGGGAUUGCGCCUGAUACUGCGUUGCUAGAGUAUUGUAGAGGAAAGUGGAAUUUCCGGUGUAGCGGUGAAAUGCGUAGAUAUCGGAAGGAACAUCAGUGGCGAAGGCGACUUUCUGGACAAAUACUGACACUGAGGCACGAAAGCAUGGGGAGCAAACAGG